AAUUGAAAAGGGCAAACUUAUCGAAAGAUAAGGACGCAAAACUACGAGUCUAAGGUUUUUAUGCUAAGAUAGUCGGGUUGCCAAA
rnacentral:ncRNA from 1 species